UUGGUGGGGAUAAGCAAAACUUAAUCUCAACCGUUGGUAAACCUUAAUCUAGGUGAUGAAAUUUCAUUGGCUAAAGGUUGCCUCGUCUUUCUUAUUUUUCUUGUUUGUCUCAUUUUCUUCUCCUUACGGUUUACACAGAUCUUCACUUCACUCUCUCUUUGUUUUUAUUUGAUUCAUCCACCAAUUCUCACCGACCUAUCUCGCCAUCCCCGACAUCUCGCGCCACCAACGUCUCGUGCCAUAUCACCAAUGAGACAACGUCAUGAAGAGGAGGAAGAAGAUCC